rnacentral:rRNA from 1 species
GAUGAACGCUGGCGGCAUGCUUAAUACAUGCAAGUCGGACGGGAAGUGGUGUUUCCUGUGGCGGACGGGUGAGUAGCGCGUGAGAACCUGACCUUGGGAGGGGCACAACAGCUGGCAACGGCUGCUAAUACCCCGUAGGCCUAGGACCAAAAGGAGGAAUCCUCCCGAGGUUGGACUCGCGUCUGAUUAGCUAGUUGGUGAGGCAAUAGCUUACCAAGGCGAUGAUCAUUAACUGGACCGAGAGGAUGAGCAGCCACACUGGGACUGAGACACGGCCAAGGAUGCUUCGGGAGGCAGCAAUAGGGAAAUUUCGGCAAUGGGCGAAAGCCUGGCGGAGCAAUGGCGCGUGGAGAUAGAAGGCCCACGGGGCGUGAACGUCUUUUCCCGGAGAAGAAAAAAUGACGGUAUCUAGGGAGUAAGCAUCGGCUAACUCCGUG